GAAUUUAUGUUUAAAUCAAAAAUUUUGAUUAAAAAACAAAAAGCUUGGAUUCAAAUCCAACUAAAUUCC
rnacentral:tRNA from 1 species